rnacentral:rRNA from 1 species
UACGAAGGGGGCAAGCGUUGCUCGGAAUCACUGGGCGUAAAGGGCGCGUAGGCGGGAUGGCAAGUCGGUCGUGAAAUCCUUCGGCUCAACCGAAGAACGUCGGCCGAUACUGCCGUUCUUGAGGGAUGCAGAGGAGAUUGGAAUUCCCGGUGUAGCGGUGAAAUGUGUAGAGAUCGGGAGGAACACCGGUGGCGAAGGCGGGUCUCUGGGCAUCUCCUGACGCUGAGGCGCGAAAGCGUGGGGAGCAAACGGG